rnacentral:rRNA from 1 species
AUUGAACGCUGGCGGCAUGCUUUACACAUGCAAGUCGAACGGUAACAGGUUAAGCUGACGAGUGGCGAACGGGUGAGUAAUGCAUCGGAACGUGCCCGAUCGUGGGGGAUAACGCAGCGAAAGCUGCGCUAAUACCGCAUACGAUCUGAGGAUGAAAACGGGGGACCGUAAGGCCUCGCGCGAUCGGAGCGGCCGAUGUCAGAUUAGGUAGUUGGUGGGGUAAAGGCUCACCAAGCCAACGAUCUGUAGCUGGUCUGAGAGGACGACCAGCCACACUGGGACUGAGACACGGCCCAGACUCCUACGGGAGGCAGCAGUGGGGAAUUUUGGACAAUGGGCGAAAGCCUGAUCCAGCAAUGCCGCGUGCAGGAAGAAGGCCUUCGGGUUGUAAACUGCUUUUGUACGGAGCGAAAAGGUCUCCUCUAAUACAGGGGGCUCAUGACGGUACCGUAAGAAUAAGCACCGGCUAACUACGUGCCAGCAGCCGCCGUAA